UCCCAGGGGGCUCAGUGGUAAAGAAUCUGCCUGCCAAGCAGGAGACUCAGGUUCGAUCCAUGGAUUGGGAA
rfam:Ovis aries breed Texel chromosome 7, whole genome shotgun sequence.